GGGUCAGUAUUUGGCCGCAGGUGAGCAGGCAGCAGCCGGGGCUGAAUCUGGUUCUUCUAGCUGGGUCUUGCCCGUGCCAAUCUGCCUGGACUUGUCCCCCGGCCAUUAAUUUAUUCUAGCCUAUCGAGACUCCUCAUAUUCUCCUCACCCCCUGACCACUACCUCCAUACUGUCCUUCCUAAGUCACUAGGCCUGCACCCUUCCAGAAGCAUAGAUCCCUGAACACAUGGAUAAUUACUUCCUGGCCUUAUACCAGACAGUGAUGUGAGAUUGGAAAGAGGACAUGGCAUGGAGUCAGAAGAUUUGAGUUCAAGUUCCCGCUCUGGCAAUUACCAGCUGUAUGAUCUUGGAUGUUCUGCCAAUUGAAUGGAAACUGUCCUUAGUGGGGAGCAGAGAGUCUCAUCCUGUCUGGAACUGGACAUCCAUCCUUAAGGCCAGAGUUCUCCCACCACCAACUUUAACUCCUGCCCUAGCCCUCUCUCUUCCUUUUCAAAACCCUCUCCACCCAGAAAGGGAGAUUCUGGAGCCAAGACUGUACCAGCCACACCUCCCCAGAGUUGUUAAGCAAGGAACCCGAAGCCAGGGGUGGUUCUCUGGCAAUCACCCCCAUUACCAGGACAGAUGUGUUUCUGAUGGACUACACUAUCCCCGGAGGUCACAUGAUUCAGGCUGCCAAAGGUACCUGCCCUUGGGAAAUCAACUCCUGAAAGUAAAUUGGGAUUGGGCCCUGAGAAGAUCCAUGGAAGCCCGGAGGACCCUGCCUCUCUCUGUUGCUUCAUGCUGUAGAGGCGGAACUGGGGAGGGCUGCCCACAUCCGGUGAGGCAGUUGGGACCAUACGUUUGAUGACACUCUGCUCCCUCAAUGUGGAGCCUCAUCCUCAUCUCACAGUCCAGCAGGCCUCUGGCAGGAUGGGCUUCUCUCACCCAGUGUGUGAGUUUUUUUGGAAGUGGCCUGAUUUUGGAGUUUCCUUCCAAGCCUUUCCCAGGCACAUGCUUUCUCUCCCAUUCUCUCUUCUUUUAUCGAUCUUCUUAAGUCUGAUUUUCUCCUUUUUCCCUCUGUUGUCUCCAUCUUUUUUCCAGUCUCUCGCUUCUCUUUCUUUCUCCCCAUAUUUCACUCUGUUCUCUCACCCUUCCCUUUCCCUUCUGUUUCUCUCCCUCCCUCUCUUCCCACCCCCUGCCUGGCCUUCAAUAUAUCAAACAAAGUUUUAUCACCUUAUGCAGGGGCAGCCCUGCCACUGCCAUAGAGUUGAUAGGCUAAUGACAUUCUGUGGAUAUUGCUAUGUCACAAGUGCAGGGACAGCAUCAAAAACAGCCCUGAUGUCUAAACCACUUUAGCUAUCUUUUUUAUUUUUUAAAUAAAUAUAUUCACAUGAUUUUAAGAAACUAUAAAAAUGUAUAAAGUAAAAAAAUCUUUCUCUUACACUCUCUCCACCUCUCUGGUCUCUCCAUUGUGCUUUGAAAGGGGAAACCAUUGUGAUUGGUUUCUUCUAUGUCCUUCCAGAGUGUCUUUAUGCAAAUGAAAAUUAUUGUGAUAAUAUAUUCCUAUUUUUCCCCUUACUACACAAAAGGUAGACUACCAUAAUACCAUUCUGCACUUUCUUUUUUCACUUGAUAAUAAAAACAUGAUUUUAUUAA